GAUGAACGCUGGCGGCGUGCCUAACACAUGCAAGUCGAGCGGCAGCAAGGGGUGCUUGCACCCUGUCGGCGAGCGGCGGACGGCUGAGUAACGCGCGGGAACGUGCCCCAAAGUGAGGAAUAACUGCCCGAAAGGGUAGCUAAUACCGCAUAUUAUCUUCGGAUCAAAGGAUUUAUCCGCUUUGGGAGCGGCUCGCGUCGGAUUAGGUAGUUGGUGAGGUAAUGGCUCACCAAGCCGACGAUCCGUAGCUGGUCUGAGAGGAUGACCAGCCAGACUGGAACUGAGACACGGUCCAGACUCCUACGGGAGGCAGCAGUGAGGAAUCUUCCACAAUGGGCGAAAGCCUGAUGGAGCAACGCCGCGUGCAGGACGAAGGCCUUCGGGUUGUAAACUGCUUUUAUAAGUGAGGAAUAUGACGGUAACUUAUGAAUAAGGAUCGGCUAACUACGUG
rnacentral:rRNA from 1 species